GGUUGUGUAUAUCACACGUUUAAAUCUACAAUGUUACCUUGGCUGGACGAUGUUUCUGUAGAAUUUCCAAUUUCUAUGUAGAUUAUUUACUUUUAUGUCCUCUCUCAACAGGUUUUGGCUGCUAUGCGAAUUAUUUCCAAACCUUCCUCCUGCUCUUGCUGUUGAAUGAUGUUUGCGAAUUGGUUGACAAUUUCUUAAAGGGUUAAAAAGGUCAGUACCCGUUGGUCUCUUAUUAAUCACAUUUGGAUUACAUUAUAUUUGGUAUACUUACAAUGUUAUUCUAUUGACAGGAGGUAAUGUCCAGCUUUAUGCACAAGUUCCGUAAUCCUAGAGCAGUUUGCUCGUAAUUUGUUGUUGAAUGGUGUUUGCGCCUGGGCUGAGAAUUUAUUGGAGGGUUAAAAGUGAAAAGGCAGUGACGUCCCACUUGAUGAAUGAAUUACGUAACCUGGAGCUAUUUGAAACUCGAUUUGCUGACCUGGUCAGGUGAAAGUGGUCUAUUGCUUUUCAUGAAGUAGGACUUAUCGUCAUGGUCAAUGCAACUCAAUGCGACCUAUGCCUUUGGCAAUCUGAGGUUUGAGAAUGAGUUUGAAAAGGCGGGGAAAUUAAUUUUAUCAGUAUUUAUGGGGCACUUUUAAUUUCAUUCUUUCUUCUCUCUCUCUAUCUAUCUAUCUAUCUAUCUAUCUAUCUAUUUAUCUAUCUAUCUAUCUAUCUAUCUAUCUAUCUUCUGUGUCAUGUGUUUGCAACUUGUCAACAAUGUUCUUGAUGUGUUCACUGUUACAAAGUGUCUGAAUUGUUUUUGGGUUCUCUGAAAAUGCAUUUUGUUUUCUAUUUGGUGAUGAGUGCUCGUUCUGUUGUGUGUGAUUUGCUUGUUCUUAUUGCUGUUCUGUUCUUGUUUAUGAAAGUGCUCUGAUUUUAUCUGCCCUGCCUCUGAAAGUGUUUUGUGUUGAUUUGGUACUCUCUGCUCUUGCCACUGACUUGCUGUUCUGUGCUUGUUUGUUUAUUGCUGGACUUGUCUUGAAGUGCUCUGAAUUUCUGCCCUCUCUUUUGAAAGUGUUUUGUGUUUGUCUCUGUUGUUGCCACUGACUUGAUAUUGCUUAUUUUGUUGAUGAACAUUUUGGUUUUUGUCGAGUAAUCCUUGUGCCUUGCCCUUGCUGUUUGAGUGCUCGUAUUUAUGUUACUGUUCUGAUUGCUGUUCUUUUUCUGUCUUUGAAGUGUUGUGCAUUUGUUUACUUUGAUUGACUAUUUUAAUGCUGAUUCUUUACUGAAUGGUUUGAAAUUUUCUUGACUCUGUGCUGUGUUCUCAAUGCAAUGUUUUCUGUCUUCUUUGUUUCGAUGAAGUGUUGAAAUUAUUGUCUUGCAAAUGUUGUUUUUGUUGAUGUGAUGUUUUAAUAUGAUUUCCUGUGUCUUAAUCUCUAUCUCAUAUCAUUUAAAUGGCACUGUAAACCUACUCUGGGUUUCCUCGGGUUUACUGGCUUGUCUGUCUUUCUUUAUAUAAUUCUUUCCGGGGAUUUGAUUUAAAAGCCUUUUCAUUCUCAUACUUAUCACUCAAAGAUGCCAUUGCAUAUUGUACUGGGUGCUGCCAGUAUUCAUGACUUAGAUAAACUUCAGAGGUAUGUAUUUGCAGUGAAGAAAUAUCUCUAAUUGUAACUACCGUACCCAUAACUUUUUUGUUUUUAUUUAUUCCAGGUGCAGCUAUGAUUAAUUUUCACCACCAUGACAAUGCAGUCAAGAUUUUCUCUUAAGUUAUUUUAAUGGACCAGUCAGCAUAAAAAGAGCCAAGGACUCUCUGUGAUACACCCACAUGGUUUGCAACUUUCUUCUAUGUUUUCCAACAAAAAUUCUUAGUCGUUUGCUUAUCGAGGAAUAUUCCAAGCUUGUGACAUCUGCUCUGCUAAUCGCCUGUAUAUUAAUUUCCCCUCUGGUAAGUACAUUUGCAGAGCAAGUGCUCCGAUAUUCUCAACUUUGGCAGUGUCUUUAAAACUGAUUGCUGUUUUUCUUUUCCAUUGUAGGUUUGAGGUGGAUUUCAAAGACUCGUCAUGGCAUUGAUCUUUCAUUGAUGAUUAUUUGUACCUAAUUACCGUGAACAAUUGUAAGUAUUAUUACAUUUAUGUGUAGACUUUUGAUUUGUUUUUUAUUGGAGUGCAAACUAAUUCUCAUGUCGAUCCUUUAGGCUCAAUUACCACGGUAUGAUUGAAAUUUGAAAAUGGUUCUGCCGCAAUUCUUCUCUCGAUGAGGAGGGCAUUUAUUUGAUGAGGGAGAUGGAUUACAACGAAACACCCACACUGCUGGCACGUACUGCUCUAUGUUUUAUUUUGAUCUACAUUAUGCAUUCUGAGAGUUACGAUUGUAAGUUUUACUUUCUCUUUACCUUUUCAGGACUCGAAGUUGUGUUGCAUCUCUUUUCCUUUUUUGUUUGAGAGAGAAGUUCCUGCGCUUUGCUGGAAUUGAUGUCUACCUGUCGACAAUGUGCACAGCUUACUCUAUUUAAUUUCUCUCUGAAAGCCGUUUAAGGAACUCCUUCAUCCUCUUUUUCUGUAUGACGUAAGUUUCUGUACAUAUCUCUUGAAAAGGCACCUGGAGAUUCUUAAAACUAACGGAACCAUUUUGUUGACAGGCAGCCAACCAAGCAAAGUGUCAAUUUGGAGGAUCUACCCACUCAGUUAAGCUUGUUGUCUCCCUUGGUUGUCAGCGCGGUGUGCCAAAGCUAAGUACCCUUCUAUUUUCUUUCUACUCCUUGUCAAGUUUUAGACAUUCCUCUACCGCCACCUAUAGUAACAACUUUAGCAAAAGAAAAGGAUAGUUUGAGUUUGCACACCUGAGACCAAAUGGUGUCAAGCUUCCUUCAAUUUUAUUUAAAUAACUUCUAUCUUUAUGGGGCUAAAAAUUAUUUAAACAUGCUGUCAGACAAACUGGCACUAAUUCUCUUCCCCAUAAUUGUCAAAAGAAACAUGCAUAUUACCUCAACCACCUCCCUGCCUUAAACUCUGAUUUCAAGUAAAUUCCCUUACUGCCAUUCCUUUUCUGUCUAUUGAAAUUGAAGUGCCCAUUAUAAUGUCAAUGUUUGAGGAUGUUCUUUUGACUGUGUUUUUGUCAUGUUCUGUUCAUUAUUUUGCCCUUUCCGCUGUGCUGUUCUGCAACCUUGUUUCUUAAAAGUGUUUGCUCAUGGUUCUGCUAUAAUUUGUGCCUAUAUUAUUUGUAUAUGUUUCUCGUGUGCUGUGUUUUGCCCUCUGAUUGCACUGUUCUGCUACCUUGUUUGAUGAAAGUGUUUGAUUGCUCAUGGUUUUGCUGCAAUUUGUGCCUGUACUUAUAUAUGUGUGAAUUUCUCUUGUGUUUAUGAGUGUUCUUGUGCCUCUUGUAUUCUGAUAUGUCCUUAUGCUGCUUACUAUGUGAACCUGCCAUUUUUAUUGCGAUGCUUUAUUGAAUGACUUGCUCUGUUUUGCCUUUGAAUUUUGAACUGGUACUUUUGUCUUUCUGCCUUCUGGAUGUUUUGUGGUUUGGUUUGUUGAAUUUGUGCGUGUGAGUGUGAUAUGAUCUCUGUACUACCCCUUUCCCCCCCUCUUUUCCUCUUGAUCUUUACCAAAAGUUCCUUGUUUUUUCUCCUUGUUGUGCAUACCUCUUUUAAGUAAGCCAGUCAGCUAAAGUAUUCUGGAAGGAAAGACUUGUAAAAGGUUUUAUUUGCACUGUUGUCUCUACUGUGCACUCUCAAACUAUUCACAACUAUAGGAGAUGUUUAUUAAAGUAGUGUAUGUAAAAUCAAUUUCGUUACUAAUGUGUUACGCUUUAUUCAGCUUGCAGGACGGUCAGUUUGGAGAACGGCUCUGCCUGUGGUGUGUUGCGGCUUGUUGAUACUCCACUGGGACCUUUCACUUCCACGCUGCAAAUGGCUGCAUCUCAACGCUGUUUCAUGUCUAAGAGUUCAAUACAACUCCCAACCACAGGAGCUUUACCUUUUUCAAGAAUGAAGAUUUACCUGUCAAUUUAAAAUCACGUCUUUGGAAUGUUCUCUACUGCUCUGUUAUUUUAUUCUCAAUGUAAAUAGAAGAAAACCUUUCUUGCUACUUAUGUAACUUUGACUAUUUUCAUAUCUAUUAUAGUAUUUCUUAUUGAGUAAACAUAAAUUCAAAUUAAAGUCUGUCUAUUUCCUUCCUUUAUACCAGUAUUCCUUUUGGGUGACGCAACAUUGAUUCGCUAUAAGCUGUCAUUUUUGUGGUGUAGAAUGGGUGGCCUACCUUCUGGGCGCGUGCCCUUCUUCAGCCAGCAGGGUUCUUUACACUUACUGCAAGUCCUGCGUGCAGACUGUUACACGCUUGCUGCGGCGCAUUGUAGUA